rnacentral:rRNA from 1 species
GAUGAACGCUGGCGGCGUGCCUAAUACAUGCAAGUCGAGCGAACGGACGAGAAGCUUGCUUCUCUGCUGUUAGCGGCGGACGGGUGAGUAACACGUGGAUAACCUACCUAUAAGACUGGGAUAACUUCGGGAAACCGGAGCUAAUACCGGAUAAUAUUUUGAACCGCAUGGUUCAAAAGUGAAAGACGGUCUUGCUGUCACUUAUAGAUGGAUCCGCGCUGCAUUAGCUAGUUGGUAAGGUAACGGCUUACCAAGGCAACGAUGCAUAGCCGACCUGAGAGGGUGAUCGGCCACACUGGAACUGAGACACGGUCCAGACUCCUACGGGAGGCAGCAGUAGGGAAUCUUCCGCAAUGGGCGAAAGCCUGACGGAGCAACGCCGCGUGAGUGAUGAAGGUCUUCGGAUCGUAAAGCUCUGUUAGUAGGGAAGAACAUAUGUGUAAGUAACUGUGCACAUCUUGACGGUACCUAAUCAGAAAGCCACGGCUAACUACGUG